GAAGAAGAAAAAUAUAGGCUAAACCAAGAGCCAUGAAUAUAAUGUCUUCAAGUCAAUAUCGCUUGUAUGCAGGUAAGAAAGAAUUCCAUUAUCUCUCAAUCAAAUACACUUGAUUAACAGCAAAGGAAUUGCUCUUCAAGCCAACUUAUUUUUUAGUCCAAUUCUAAAUCCAGAUAAGUAAGCUACAAGUAUAAAAAAAAUCUCAAUUAUCUUGUAUAUUAGAAAUGCAUAAUCCAGUAGGAAAGUGCUCUUGUAUGUUAU
rnacentral:misc_RNA from 1 species